CCUACGGGAGGCAGCAGUGGGGAAUAUUGCGCAAUGGGCGAAAGCCUGACGCAGCGACGCCGCGUGAGGGAUGAAGGUCUUCGGGUCGUAAACCUCUGUCAGCAGGGAAGAACGGUCACUGUGCUAAUCAGCAGUGAAUUGACGGUACCUGCAAAGGAAGCACCGGCUAACUCCGUGCCAGCAGCCGCGGUAAUACGGAGGGUGCGAGCGUUAAUCGGAAUUACUGGGCGUAAAGCGCUCGUAGGCGGUAUGUCAAGUCAAGGGUGAAAACCCCGGGCUCAACGUGGGAACUGCCUUUGAAACUGGCAAACUGGAGUGUGUGAGAGGAAAGCGGAAUUCCAGGUGUAGGAGUGAAAUCCGUAGAUAUCUGGAGGAACAUCAGUGGCGAAGGCGACUAUCUGGCACAUAACUGACGCUGAGGAGCGAAAGCGUGGGUAGCAAACAGGAUUAGAUACCCCUGUAGUC
rnacentral:rRNA from 1 species